ACCCUGUCUCAAAAAAAAAAAAAAAAAAAAAAAAAAGACGAUAGAAGCAGCCCAGGAUCCACCCUUGGCUCGUUAAGUCGGGCUGCCUGGAGUGUUGAGAAUUGACACCUACAUGGUGGUCAGUACUAGGACGACCAGACUCUCCUAUGGGCACAGUUCUGUACAGUUUAUAAGGGUUUUGGUUUUUUUUUCUUUUUUUGGGGGGGGGUCUCACUCAUGAUAUUCCCCAUUUAGGGUCUUGAGGUUUGAGGACCCUGUUAGACUUACCCUCAGUCUGUUGGGUGAGUUUGCUUCUAUCAUCUUGGAUUCUUGACUAUCCCUAUUUUUUAGAGGAGGGAACAAACUUCAGGUCUUCCAGAAAGAACUGGCAAAAAGAGGCCUGUAUUCCUCUAACUUCACUGUCUUCUUUACACACCAUGCCACUUUCCUGAACAAUAUACAAGUUCAUCAUGUAAUUAUUUUAGAACCCAGGGUCCAAAUAUUUUUAUGGUCAAGAUUCGAUGGGCAAAGUCCUCACACUGAGUUCUCCCAGCAAGGAUGCUUUCCACUCACUUGCUGGGUGGCUGCGGGUCACCUCCCCUCACUGGGCCUUGGUUUCCCCAUCUGUGAAAUGAGGUAGUUGGAUUAGAUAAUUCCACAGUUCCCUUCCAGCUCUAGCAUUACCCUCAGAUACCCUCAUGCCUAAAGCAGUAAUUGAACAAGGGGCGUGGUGACCCCAGGUUCUGGGUCAGGUCCUCAUCUUGCGGCACGGAAGAAUCGUGAUGAUGGCUGCAGCCCCCAGAAGAUUAACUUGAGAGGAGCUGGCUGAGAUGAUUUUUCAGCUGAUGGUGAAAUGUGCUGGCAGAAUCUAUACAGGUAGGUUGGCACAGGUGAGGAGUGGGGUGGGCACUUUGUCUCUUGUGACCCCGAAUAAUGUUUCCUUGCAGAAUUGGAAGCCUCCAGGACAGGUGGAUGCCAGCUGGAUUUAGCCAUUCACAUUGGCAAAGUACAUUUUAUCAUCAGCUUGUCAAAGUUCUGUGAACAAAAUAUCUGUUGGAAGUCCGAGAAGAAUUGCAUUGAAGGGGAAAUUAACAACUUUAGAGUAUCAGUUCUUCCCAUCUAUGGACAUGGUGUCUAUCUCCUUUUAAUCAGAAUUGUAUUUGUUUUGUUUUGUUUUUAAUGCCUUUUAAUAAAGGUUGGUUGCUUUUGUCAUAAAGAUUUUUCACAGUUCUUAAUAGGUUUAUUCCUGAGUACCUUAUUAAUUUUGUUGCUUUUGUGAGUGGAAAAACUUUUCCUUUUUUCAUUUUGCUUUCCAAAUUUUAAUCAGUUUACUAAUCACUGUGCUUCAUUCACAGACACAUACACAGCAAAUGUGCUUUGUCCCUGGGCACACAAAUGAAAACACAGCACACAUGUAAAUCAGAGCUAAUUGGCUGAAAAUGAAUUAGAAUUUUUGAAUUAAAUGUUAAUUAUACAAGUAAUACAUGAAUAUAUUUUGCUUUAAAUAAAAUUAGAGCAUUUCGGGUAAAGAAGUCUCUACUGGCCUCCCCAACCUGUCCUCAGGCCCCUUCCCCGCUUUAGAGGUAGCUGCUGUUAGGCAUUUGCUAUUGAUCCAAAAUGUUUUCCUAUGCGAAUUGAAACAUGUCCUGUGUUCUAUUGUUGUUUUUGUUUGCUUGCAUAGAUGUGGUGGUGUACACACUGGAGGUGCUGCUCCUGAGCUCAGGGAGCCUUACAGGACUCUCCUCGUGUCGCGUGUCACCUGCCGCAGCUGGCUCCACUGCCCCUUUCAGCUGGCCGCCGGCAACCAGAACCGAUUGUGCUAUGAUUUAUUUAGUUGUUGCUUAUUGAUCGACUAUUAAAAGGCUUCCAGUCUUAUUUCAAUAGGACAAACCUGUAACAGCAUUCUUGUAUAUGCCCCUUUUGCUCAUGUACAAGUGUUUCUCUGGGGCAGAUACUUAGAAACAGAAUUGGUGGGUCAUAGAGUCUACACAUCUUAAAUUCUAAUAGUAACUGCUAAAAUGUUCUUCAAAGUGCCUUUCUGAUUUAAUUUCAUGCCAGCAGUAUGUGUGUCCAUUUCUCCAGACCAUCUCCAAGUUUUACAUUUUAACCAAUCUGGUGGGUGAAAAAUAAUACCUUGUUUUAGUUAGUAUUUUUCUGAAUUACCAGGAUGGCUAAAGUCUGUGUGUUUCCUAUCCAUUUAUAUUUCCUUGUCGGCAUUACUUGUCCAAAUUUUUUGCCCAUUUCUUUUUUUUAGGGUAUGUUAUCUUUUCCUUAUUGAUUUUUUAGAAGUUCUUUAUGCAUUUUGUAUACUUUAUGUGUAUUGCAAAUAUUUUCUGUAUUGUGAUUCUUGUCAUUUAAUUGUAUUGUGUCUUUGGAGAAAUCUUAAAUUUUGAUACAG